rnacentral:rRNA from 1 species
AACGAACGCUGGCGGCAUGCCUAACACAUGCAAGUCGAACGAGACCUUCGGGUCUAGUGGCGCACGGGUGCGUAACGCGUGGGAACCUGCCCUUAGGUUCGGAAUAACUCCCCGAAAGGGGUGCUAAUACCGGAUAAUGUCUUCGGACCAAAGAUUUAUCGCCUUUGGAUGGGCCCGCGUUGGAUUAGCUAGUUGGUAGGGUAAAAGCCUACCAAGGCGACGAUCCAUAGCUGGUCUGAGAGGAAGAUCAGCCACUCUGGGACUGAGACACGGCCCAGACUCCUACGGGAGGCAGCAGUGGGGAAUAGUGGACAACGGGCGGAGGCCUGAUCCAGCAAGGCCGCGUGAGUGAUGAAGGCCUGAGGGUUGUAAAGCGCUUUUACCCGUGAUGAUAAUGACAGUACCGGGAGAAUAAGCUCCGGCUAACUCCGUG